GGGUAGGGUAGGUGAUUGCACAGAUAGUUUUUUUCAUAAAAGAAACCCUACAAUUACAUGCGCACUCAGUCCAUGCUUGAUUUCACUUUCACUUCACUCAACAUUUAUCAAGUAAAUUGUGAUAAACCUACAUGAAAAUGUAUGUGAAAAUUGUGGUAUGUUUCUGCGUUUUCAUAAUCGAAUGGUUGAUGCAUCCAGUUCACAGUGUAACUCUUCAAGACUACUAUAAUUUCAAGGGUAAAGAUCUUUUAUCGAUGAAUAUCGAUGAUGUGACCAAAAUUUGCGAGAAUGUAGCGCCAAAGAUACAGUAUUCAGGAACACUUUACGACGCAAUUUUUCAUAAAGAUGUGACGAAUUUGAGACAGAAACAUACGCAGCAAUAAAUGCAGUCUUGCAAUUUCUACAGUCAAAUGGCCUUCAGCUGAAUGCCGGCAAAACAGAGUUCAUUUUGUUUGAUAGAAGAAGACCUACAAUAAGAAAUCAAGAACCUUGCAAUACAAUCACACGUAUCUGGGCAUUAUAAUUGAUGAUAAGCUAUGGUGGAAAACGCAUAUAAUGAGCAGCAUACAAAAGGCGAAGAAGUACCUGCCAAUACUAACGGCAGUAUGCCACAACACAUACGGCUAUUCGGUGUGGGCAAUAAGGAUCAUGUACAAGGCGACGGUAAAUGCGGUCAUCGGUUACAGUAGCAGUUUGUUUGUACACAAAAUUAAUCUGAAAGAAGUAGUCGACGAGCUGAGAAAACUCCACCUGCAGAUGGCAAGAAACAUUGCACGAUUAUAUAAGGGAACCAGUUAUAUAGCUUAGACAGUUAUUGCGGACUCUAUGCCACUGGAGAUUGCUAUAGAAGCUCGAGCCCUAACCUGGUUGGCGCGAAGGAGAACUCAGUACCUUGAAGCAGAGGAAGUAGACGCAGCAGUCAUCAGAAUACAGCAAAUAGCCCUCAACAAAUGGAAUGAAGAAUGGAUGUCAUCAGAUCACGGCACCUGGACGAGAAAAUUCUUCCCAACAAUUCAAGACAGGCAACAACUAGAUAUUGAUGAAGAUCUAGAUUUCUGGGUUGCUCAGGCCCUCAGCGACAAAGGAUGUUUUGGAUCCUUUUUGUGCAGCAUCAACAGAAGGAAUCAUGCUACUUACAGAUGAGGCUACCAGUAAGAGACGGCAGAACAUGUACUUACUGUAUGCGAAAGGUUUAGAGAAGGCUGUCCAGGGACUCCUUUGACUCCUUCAAAUCCUGAUCACAUAGACUACAUGAGAUCCGUGAUUCAUCAGCUAUGGGAAGAAGAGAGGCUCUUGCCAUAUUAAGUAGGCUGAUUCCUUGACACCUUGAAGGCCCCGUCACAGGGGUGAAGAAGCCUCCAAGGCUGGGGCUUUUCCCAGGAUCAAGAGGGCAGAAGAGCCCGCCCCCAACGAGACCAUAUGAAGGCCCCGUCACAGGUGCGAAGAAGCCUCCAAGGCUGGGGCACUUUCAUGGAUGAAGAGGGUAGAAGAGCCCGCCCCCAACGGUUCUUACGAAGCUCUAGAAAGGUGAGUAUGGGUAGGUUUUAUUAUUACCUACAUUACUGCUAUAUGUAAGAUGUGUAGUGUUACUAUAUAGUAAGAUGUCAUUAGUCCUAAGUUUCAUUUAGCUUACAUUCUAUUAUUAUGGUAAGAUGUCAUUAGUCCUAAGUUCUAUGUAGCCUUAGUUCUAUUGUCUAUGUGAUUAGGUAUAGUUUAUUGUAUUUGCUUGUAUCAUGUUUUAAAAACCUAUGUGUAAGAAUCAUGUGUCAUAUUUCCCAAUAAACUUGCCCCACCCCGCCAGUAGGUUGGGGACUGGGGACCCCAGGAAAAAAAAAGGCUAUCUUAUGGCUAU